rnacentral:rRNA from 1 species
AUUGAACGCUGGCGGCAUGCCUUACACAUGCAAGUCGAACGACGUUACGGGGGCAACUCUGUAGCGAGUGGCGAACGGGUGAGUAAUGCAUCGGAACGUGCCCUCUUGUGGGGGAUAACCAGUCGAAAGAUUGGCUAAUACCGCAUGAGCUCGAGAGAGGAAAGCGGGGGAUCCGCAAGGACCUCGCGCGAGAGGAGCGGCCGAUGCCCGAUUAGCUAGUUGGGGGGUAAUAGCCCACCAAGGCGACGAUCGGUAGCUGGUCUGAGAGGACGACCAGCCACACUGGGACUGAGACGCGGCCCAGACUCCUACGGGAGGCAGCAGUGGGGAAUCGUUGCGCAAUGGGCGAAAGCCUGACGCAGCGACGCCGCGUGAGGGAUGACGGCCU